GGAAGUCGCAGUAAAAUGUUCUCUCCAUGGUUCUGUGACACCAAAAUACAAGUUUCGGACACACCAAGCAGCUAGUGAGAUAGCAGCUUAUUUCUGGGACCCAAUGUCACAACCAAUUGAUUAAGACCAGAGCCAAUGUGACUUUAACAAUAGGACCUUAAGGAAAAGGGGUCGGGAGAAAGGUGGUGAAUGAAACUUGUCAACAGUGAAAGAGUAGAAACACGGCCAAAGGUAACACCAAACCAGUUCACAGAGAAACAAGGCUUUGGAGGUCCGCUGGUUCUGGUCUUUACUCUAGACCCGACACCCUUGAGCGUAUUCUCACAUCUGUGGUCUUCUGCUGCAGCCAUUCAAUAUCCACAUGUUUUGCCCUCUUG
rnacentral:lncRNA from 1 species